rnacentral:rRNA from 1 species
UGGAUCCUGAGUACGACGGAGCACGUGAAAUUCCGUCGGAAUCUGGGAGGACCAUCUCCUAAGGCUAAAUACUCUCUAGUGACCGAUAGUGAACCAGUACCGUGAGGGAAAGGUGAAAAGUACCCCGGAAGGGGAGUGAAAGAGAACUUGAAACCGUGUGCUUACAAGUAGUCAGAGCCCGUUAAUGGGUGAUGGCGUGCCUUUUGUAGAAUGAACCGGCGAGUUACGAUCUGAUGCAAGGUUAAGCAGAAAAUGUGGAGCCGUAGCGAAAGCGAGUCUGAAUAGGGCGAAUGAGUAUUUGGUCGUAGACCCGAAACCAGGUGAUCUACCCUUGGUCAGGUUGAAGUUCAGGUAACACUGAAUGGAGGACCGAACCGACUUACGUUGAAAAGUGAGCGGAUGAACUGAGGGUAGCGGAGAAAUUCCAAUCGAACUUGGAGAUAGCUGGUUCUCUCCGAAAUAGCUUUAGGGCUAGCCUCAAGUGAUGAUUAUUGGAGGUAGAGCACUGUUUGGACGAGGG